rnacentral:rRNA from 1 species
UAGGGAAUCUUCCACAAUGGGCGAAAGCCUGAUGGAGCAACGCCGCGUGUGUGAUGAAGGGUUUCGGCUCGUAAAACACUGUUGUAAGAGAAGAAUGACAUUGAGAGUAACUGUUCAAUGUGUGACGGUAUCCUACCAGAAAGGAACGGCUAAAUACGUGCCAG